ensembl:lncRNA
CACCAACUUUACCUUGACGAUCUUUUGGGGCGGUGACGUCAUUGUUGUCUGUUUGGCUAAAUUCUGGUCUGCAUGCAUGUAGAUUGUUUACCUCUCUCUCAGCGGCGGGUGGUUUGGCCAUCGCGGUAACAUGGAAUGGGCUUUUCUUUACAAAAUCGGGGACCUCAGUCAGCAAAGUGUCGAAUGGGUUAUUCAAACGUCACUCCAGCCGUCUGAUGGAUGUACACGUGGAUUCCUGGGGAACCACGAUGGCUACAAUACUCAUCUGCUGUUUUUAAUUGUUAAGAAGUUUGAGCCAAUUAGCAUGGGAGCUGUCAACAGCCCUGGCAGGUUGAGGAGCCCAGCGCUGAUGUGAACUGCAGAUGGAGCGGGCUUCCUAAUGGCAUCCAAAUGCUCAGAGCCCAGAGCCAACCGCAGAAAAAAUAUGUUGUAAAUC